rnacentral:rRNA from 1 species
UAGUCCACGCCGUAAACGAUGGACACUUGGUGUUGGAGGUAUUGACCCCUUCAGUGCCGAAGCUAACGCGUUAAGUGCCCCGCCUGGGGAGUACGGCCGCAAGGUUAAAACUCAAAGAAAUUGACGGGGGCCCGCACAAGUGGUGGAGCAUGUGGUUUAAUUCGAUGCAACGCGCAGAACCUUACCUAGAUUUGACAUAAACUGGAAGGGUGGCAGAAAUGUCCCCGCCCGCAAGGGCCGGUUUAC